UACGUAGGAUGCGAGCGUUAAUCGGAAUUACUGGGCGUAAAGCGUGCGCAGGCGGUGAGCUGUGUCCGAUGUGAAAGCCCCGGGCUUAACCUGGGAAUGGCAUUGGAAACUGGCUCGCUGGAGUGUGGCAGAGGGGGGUGGAAUUCCGCGUGUAGCAGUGAAAUGCGUAGAGAUGCGGAGGAACACCGAUGGCGAAGGCAGCCCCCUGGGCUAACACUGACGCUCAGGCACGAAAGCGUGGGGAGCAAACAGG
rnacentral:rRNA from 1 species